CCCAGCUGAGCUACGGCCCCUAAAACAGUUUAAAAUGCUUUCACGUUAUGCUCUUAUAAAAAACGUCACACUUUUACAAAACAUCUGAUGCUUUUUAAAAAUUAAAAAUAGAGACAGAAUUUUAAACUUUUUAAAUGAUAAAAAAUAAUUUCAGAGGUGACUUCUUUAUAUCUCAUACUCUGCUUUCCAUCUCAUAUUCUCAGUACUAUGGCAUAGUCUGAAAGAUAAUAAAUUUUUUUUAAGGAAUUAUUCAAAAAGCGAUUAUUAACUCUUGCAAAGAGCAACUUUCAGCCAAUCAUAGGAGCUUUCAGCAUAGUGUAAUUGGUGGGCCUGGGAGGACUUGAACCUCCGACCUCACGCUUAUCAAGCGCGCGCUCUAACCAACUGAGCUACAAGCCCUACGGGGUAAACCAGAAAACCUGCACCGGCAUAAUCUGAUCAAAGAAAAUAACGUCUUUCCAUCCCCCUCAGAGGCUUGCG
rnacentral:tRNA from 1 species